rnacentral:rRNA from 1 species
UACGAAGGGGGCUAGCGUUGUUCGGAAUCACUGGGCGUAAAGGGUGCGUAGGCGGGUCUUUAAGUCAGGGGUGAAAUCCUGGAGCUCAACUCCAGAACUGCCUUUGAUACUGAAGAUCUUGAGUCCGGGAGAGGUGAGUGGAGCUGCGAGUGUAGAGGUGAAAUUCGUAGAUAUUCGCAAGAACACCAGUGGCGAAGGCGGCUCACUGGCCCGAUACUGACGCUGAGGCACGAAAGCGUGGGGAGCAAACAGG